ACCUAACUUCUCUGAAGUCAUAGAUGGCAAGUUUAGAUUCUGUGACACAAAGGGAAGCGUGUCUAAAGGGAAGCGGUGUCUUACUAAUUGUUCCCACGCCACCUUCACUUCUGGGAAAGUUUGCGCAGAGGUGUAAUUUCAGGUCUACAGAGCUCUCAUUCCUUCUAGAUGCUGCCCCUGACCCUUCAUUCCCGUAGGAUUUUGGCUAGCCCCUUCCGAAGGAACAGGAACUCUCACAGGGGACACAGGCUAAGACGCUGUGGAGGGAUGCUGCUCACUGACUCACUCUCGUGACUUGCUCGGCCUGCUUCCUUACAGAACCCAGGACCACCAGCCCAUGGAUCCUGUUUUACAAUGGAUUGUGUCAAGGUGACAUAAAACUAGCCAGCACAAUCACUAAUAGAAAGGAUUCUAUCUUGAAAAUUAUACAUUUUAAAAGCUCAGCCAGGCAAAUCUAUAGCUCUCCAGGUCAAAUCCUUUAUAUAAAGCCUUCGCAGACGCGUUCAUAAACAUACCACUUGUUCCCGCGAAUGAGAGUCGGAGUCUAGCAGGAGUUGUUUCACUUCUGAAGCUCGUUUUAGAGCCUAUGUAAUCUCCCAAGGGGCCCAGGAGGGCUGAAACCUCUGCUUGUGUCUGUGCUGACCCUGAGGAUCACUGUGGGUCAGGGGAGGAGAAACGCUUGCGGGGUGUGAAGUGGAGAAAAUCAAGAACCAGUUGUAACCUGUUCCUCAGCACCUCCAACUCUGAUAAGGCAAGUUGUCUGUGGAGGGCCCAGCCCUCUUUACCGGAGAACUACUCGCACAGUGGCCCAGGAGUUUUUGAGGGAAGGCAAUGUGACUGGGCCUGGGAGAGAUACAGGUCUGGCUUGCGUGUGCUUCAUGCAGCUAUGAUCAGGCAGUGGUCAGUGAGAAGGAACUCAGCAACAUCUGUACCACUGGCCUUCGGAGCACUGGUUCCAUCCUGUUUUCUACCUCCCAAGGCUUCUGCGCGUCUCUUGUGGCCAGCCCUAACCCAGAACCAUAAAAGGAAAUUGGAGAAAAUAUGCUCUUUACUGAGAUGGUACAAAGCUAACAAGAGGGGUGGGUUUUUUUUCCUCCAGUGUUAGAGAAUCUCUGUCCACUAAGAACACAGAGCCUGGGUGCUCUCCUUGUCAGAGGUGUGAGGCCUCAGUCCCAGACUUGGACCCAUGUGUGUCUAUGUGAGUGGCUUAGUGUCUAUUGCUGUGAUAAAACACCACAGCCAAAAUCAACUUGGGGAGGAAAGGGUUCAUUUCAGCUUCCAAUUCUAUAAAUCCAUCACAGAGGGAAGUCCAGGCAGGAACUCAAAGCAGGGACCUGCAGGCGACAACUGAAGCAGAGACCGUGUUUAUUGACCAGCUCCGUAAGGCUCGCUCUUAGUGCUUUCUUAUACAAUUUAGGACCUUAUGCGCUGGGAUGACAGACCCAGGGAGCUGGGUCUGCCCACAUCGCCAUUAAUCAAGAUAAUACUCCACAGAUCUGCCUACAGACCAACCUUAUGGAGGCUUUUUUUCCCAAGUAAGAUUCCCUCUUCCCAUAUAUGCCUGGGCUUGUGUCAGUUUGACAAAACCCAACGGGCACAGUGAGUCUUGAAAAUUUAGCACAUAGACCUCCUUGAGGCUUUAAACUGCACCCAACAGCAUUUACUAGUUCGCACUCACGAUGAUGAGCUUAGAUCUGCUGGUGUCUCCUCUCCUGGGUACCCGCAAACGCUGAAAUUAUGCUAAUGACCCCGAGUCUGGGACAGAACUUGCGGGGAGUUCUAGAACAUCCCUGGGAAUGGAGACUGAGUCUGUUCACCCAGGACCAGGAGCCGACACAUCCGGGGUGGAGAUGCUCCCCAGGAAGGAGGGAAGCCUGUGGCGACAACGUCUGUUUAAGAGGAACAGGGGCCUUGUGGGUCAGUUGCAUAAGCUGGAGCUUCAAGCUCUGCUCCGCUUGGCACGGAGCCUCGCUUUACAGACACUCCUCUUCCACGGGAUUUGAAUGGACGCAGGAGGUAGCACGUCCCUGUUGCCUGGGCUUCGGGUGCCCUCUUGUGGCGGAAUAUUGGUUUUGGGAUUUUUCACAGUUUCUCCUUCCGGGGAUCUCUGGAAUCCUACUGUCUUCACUGUCAUUAGCGGUCUAACUCUACGGAACUCAGUCCUCAGAACCAGGUCUCUCAGGGCUUGGCUUUGUCUGCAGGCUGGUCAAAAUCCGUGGGGUAGAGGGACGUCCCUAACAGCGAGGAAAGGCCACCGAUGGGAGCAGAGCGCUUGGUCUAAAGAUGCUUGUCUGUGCUGUCUGCAAUACACACAAAAGAACUGGCCGGGGCCCUACUUGAUUUCUUCUGGUCUCUUCUAGACUCUAGGCCAAGGGUUCUUAGGUGUGGCACUCCGUCAGACAGUGACAGACCAAAGGGACGCUCCUCCUGCCUCGCUUGGUGGACUGAUGAGUGUUCUGGGGCUACCUGCAGGAGCAUGACCAAGGAGUCACCCAUAGAGUGUGGAUCUCGAGUCCAGGCUGGCCGGAGACUUCCUAUAAAGCUGAGGAUGACUUGAACUGGAUCUUUCUGUCUCUACUUUCCGAGGUCUGGGAGCACAGUUUGUGCUUUUGUUGAUGUCAGAAUAAGUCUCGGGCUGGGAGUGAAUCGCACGGAUUUAAACCUGGCACUGAAGUCCUAGGGACGAUUUUCGGAGGUGCCUCUGGCAAAGGAAAAUGACCCCCCUUCUCCAGCUGAUGCUGACGUUGCGUUGGGUGACAUUGUCAGCUUGAUGGACCCGUGGAAGCAGAUCUCUGGGCACAUCUGUGAGGGAUAUCUAGAUGUGUUUAAAACUGAGAUGGAAAGAAAGACCGAACGACCUUAAAUGUGGACAGUAUCAUUAUAGACUGGGGUCCAUGACUGAAUAAAAAGGAGGAAGAGAGAGAGGCUACAAAGAUGGUUUGGCAGUGAGGUGUGUGACCCUUCAGGAGACCUGGGUUUGAUCCCCACUGCUGGCAUCAAGCAGGUCACAGCCUCCUGUACCUUGAACUCCAGGAGCUCUGAUGCCUCCUGGUCUCCUCGGCACCCGCACAUAUGGGCAUAUACUCCCCAUCCCCCCACAUGCAUAGUACAAUUAAAAAUAAAUCUUUUAAAAAUUUGUGUACUUAUGAGUACUCCACUGCAUAUACAUCUGCAGGACAGAAGAGGG
rnacentral:sRNA from 1 species